rnacentral:rRNA from 1 species
CAGCCGCCGCGGUAAUACGUAGGGUGCGAGCGUUAAUCGGAUUUACUGGGCGUAAAGCGUGCGCAGGCGGCCCGUUAAGACAGGUGUGAAAUCCCUGGGCUCAACCUAGGAAUUGCGCUUGUGACUGGCGGGCUCGAGUACGGUAGAGGGGGGUGGAAUUCCUGGUGUAGCAGUGAAAUGCGUAGAGAUCAGGAGGAACACCGAUGGCGAAGGCAGCCCCCUGGGCCUGUACUGACGCUCAUGCACGAAAGCGUGGGGCGCAAACAGGAUUAGAUACCCUGGUAGUCAACGCCCUAAACGAUGGGUACUAGCCGUUUGGUGCGCGAUAGCGCUGAGUGGCGAAGCUAACGCGUGAAGUACCCCGCCUGGGGAGUACGGCCGCAAGGUUGAAACUUAAAGGAAUUGGCGGG